rnacentral:rRNA from 1 species
CCUACGGGUGGCAGCAGUGAGGAAUAUUGGUCAAUGGGCGCGAGCCUGAACCAGCCAAGUCGCGUGAGGGAAGACGGUCCUAUGGAUUGUAAACCUCUUUUGUCGGGGAGCAAAAGACGCCACGCGUGGCGGUCCGAGAGUACCCGAAGAAAAAGCAUCGGCUAACUCCGUGCCAGCAGCCGCGGUAAUACGGAGGAUGCGAGCGUUAUCCGGAUUUAUUGGGUUUAAAGGGUGCGCAGGCGGAAGAUCAAGUCAGCGGUAAAAUUGAGAGGCUCAACCUCUUCGAGCCGUUGAAACUGGGUAUCUUGAGUGAGCGAGAAGUAUGCGGAAUGCGUGGUGUAGCGGUGAAAUGCAUAGAUAUCACGCAGAACUCCGAUUGCGAAGGCAGCAUACCGGCGCCCAACUGACGCUCAUGCACGAAAGUGUGGGUAUCGAACAGGAUUAGAUACCCGGGUAGUC